AUUCAGUCGAUGAGUCCCAAAUAGGACGAAACGCGCGUCCUCAAU
rnacentral:hammerhead_ribozyme from 1 species